GGGAACUACGAGCAUAAGCUUAAAACCCAAAGGACUUGGCGGUGCUUUAGACCCCCCUAGAGGAGCCUGUUCUAGAACCGAUAACCCCCGUUCGACCUCACCUUUUCUUGUUCAUCCCGUCUAUAUACCGCCGUCGUCAGCAUACCCUGUGAAGGAAACAUAGUAGGCAAAACUGGUAAAACCCAAAACGCCAGGUCGAGGUGUAGCAUACGAAAAGGAAAGAAAUGGGCUACAUUUCCUCUUACAGGAAAUACGAAUUGUGUCAUGAAACAACACAUGAAGGAGGAUUUAGCAGUAAGCAGAAAACAGAGUGUUCUGCUGAACCCGGCCCUGAAGCACGCACACACCGCCCGUCACCCUCCCCAAAUCAAAAUACACCCUUACUUAAAAAUUCACCAGAACUAAAGGGGAGGUAAGUCGUAACAUGGUAAGUGUACCGGAAGGUGCACUUGGAAUAAA
rnacentral:rRNA from 1 species